UACGAAGGGGGCUAGCGUUGCUCGGAAUUACUGGGCGUAAAGGGCGCGUAGGCGGUUUGUCGCGUCGGGAGUGAAAUCCACUGGCUUAACUGGUGGCUUGCUUUCGAUACGGGCAGACUGGAGGUAUGCAGGGGAGAACGGAAUUCCUGGUGUAGCGGUGAAAUGCGCAGAUAUCAGGAGGAACACCGGUGGCGAAGGCGGUUCUCUGGGCAUGUCCUGACGCUGAGGAGCGAAAGUGUGGGGAGCGAACAGG
rnacentral:rRNA from 1 species